rnacentral:rRNA from 1 species
AACUCAAAUGAAUUGACGGGACCCGCACAAGCGGUGGAUGAUGUGGAUUAAUUCGAUGCAACGCGAAAAGCCUUACCUACCCUUGACAUGUCCGGAAUCCCGAAGAGAUUGGGAGUGCUCGCAAGAGAACCGGAACACAGGUGCUGCAUGGCUGCGUCAGCUCGUGUCGUGAGAUGUUGGGUUAAGUCCCGCAACGAGCGCAACCCUUGUCAUUAGUUGCUACGAAAGGGCACUCUAAUGAGACUGCCGGUGACAAACCGGAGGAAGGUGGGGAUGACGUCAAGUCCUCAUGGCCCUUAUAGGUGGGGCUACACACGUCAUACAAUGGCUGGUACAAAGGGUUGCCAACCCGCGAGGGGGAGCUAAUCCCAUAAAGCCAGUCGUAGUCCGGAUCGCAGUCUGCAACUCGACUGCGUGAAGUCGGAAUCGCUAGUAAUCGUGGAUCAGAAUGUCACGGUGAAUACGUUCCCGGGUCUU